AUCGCUUCUCGGCCAUUUGGCUAAGGUUACGUGUAGUAUCUAUUCUUAUCAGUUUAAUAUCUGAUACAUCCAUUUUCUAGGAACCAUAUAUUAAAUUGAUUUUUAGAACAGGGAGAUGGAAUAGGGGCUUGCUCUGUCCACUCCAUGCAGCGACCAGGUAUUGCAGUGCCUCUGUGAUUUAAAAAAG